UACGUAGGGGGCUAGCGUUGUCCGGAUUUAUUGGGCGUAAAGAGCGUGUAGGCGGCCAGGUAGGUCUGCUGUGAAAACUCGAGGCUCAACCUCGAGAUGUCGAUGGAAACCGUCUGGCUAGAGUCCGGAAGAGGAGUGUGGAAUUCCUGGUGUAGCGGUGAAAUGCGCAGAUAUCAGGAAGAACACCUAUGGCGAAGGCAGCACUCUGGGACGGUAUUGACGCUGAGGCGCGAAAGCUAGGGGAGCAAACGGG
rnacentral:rRNA from 1 species